AACGCACCUUGCGCCCCUUGGUUAUUCCUUGGAGCAUGCCUGUUUGAGUAUCAUGAACACCUCAACUCUCAUGGUCUUCCAUGAUGAGCUUGGACUUUGGGGGUUUGCUGGCCCUGCGGCCGGCUCCUCUCAAAUGAAUCAGCUUGCCAGUGUUUGGUGGCAUCAUGGGUGUGAUAACUAUCUACGCUCGCGGUCGUCUGCCAGGUAACCCUCAGCGAUGAGGGUUCAUUGGAGCUCAUAAACGUCUCUCCUCGGCGAGGACAACUUUUGAACGUUCGAUCUCAAAUCAGGUAGGAUUACCCGCUGAACUUAA
rnacentral:misc_RNA from 1 species